UCUACAUAUCUAUGGUAAGUUCCUGAUGGU
rnacentral:piRNA from 1 species